rnacentral:rRNA from 1 species
CACGUAGGGGCGAGCGUUGUCCGGAAUUACUGGGCGUAAAGGGCGCGCAGGCUGUUAUGCGAGUCUGCUGUGAAAUGUACCGGCUCAACCGGUGCCUUGCGGCGGAUACUGCAUAGCUGGAGUACUGGAGAGGGAAGUGGAAUUCCCAGUGUAGCGGUGAAAUGCGUAGAGAUAUGGAGGAACACCAGUGGCGAAGGCGGCUUCCUGGUCUGUAACUGACACUGAGGCGCGAAAGCGUGGGGAGCAAACAGGAUUAGA